ensembl:lncRNA
UUAAUCAAAAGCAAGCCUCGCUAAGAUCAGUCAAUAUUUUCUCCCAAAUAAGCGUACCUAGGAUUACUGCCCAAUAUUGUUUGCAUAUACAAAAUAUGGCGUAUGCGGAAAAAGAGCGACGGAGUACAGCUUCCCAGUGGGGGAAUGGAGCCUACUGUUAGAGCGGUACUUGAAAGCAAUUCAUGGAUUUUCAAAUACCAUUUACCCAAACUGGGUAGACAAGAAAGCGGGACAAAGGCUGGGAAUGGCGGAAAGGCAUCCUGAAAGGCGAAGGUGGAUCUCUAGAUCUAGAACCGCUAGAGGGGAAAGGCUACCAACGGGACCAGCAGCAGCUGGUUUCGGCAUGAACGGAUCGGGACGGCUUGACGUCGCCUCCAGCGCUGCCCUCUCUGCUCUCUCUCGGCGAGAGGCUGCGACCUUCAGAGGGAAGCAGUGGCGAAUCCAAAGCAGGCGCAGAACGAAGCCAAGAGAGCGAGAACAGGCAAGCAGACCGAUCUCCUCUUGGCAGGACUCCUGGGGAAGCGAGGGCGGCCUGGAGGGUCCAGAAGCGGGCAUCAGACUCAGAAACCGGUCCUGCCUUCCCUAACGCCGGGAAAGUCCCUUGCUGAGAGCGAGGGAGCAGACGGACUCCCAUUCCCGGGAUUCCCUUCUGGGCAGUAAAAACUAAUCGUGAACAUUUUAUUACUCGUGGGCCCGCCUUCGUGGGAGGGCGCGAGGGGAGUUUUAUUUCAUCCUACGGCUGGGUGGGGGCACCCAAACGCUUCGCAGAUGUUUUCCGAGUUAAAAAAAACAACACAAUUAUUCCCACGAUUAUUCCACAGUAAUGCGCCAAUCAGUUCCAGCUCCGCUGAAAUUAAUACAGGCCUCUGCUAGUUUCCUGCCCCAGGUUAUUUUUUUAAAGAAAAGAACAGUGCUAAUAUAUUUUUUAAAAAAAUGAAAAUGUGACGUUUUUAAAUGGAUGAGGACCUGUUACUCGGAUGCAGUGCUAAGAGCGAACUACAAAGUCUUGGGCUUCAUUUUGAUCAAUGCAAAGGCCAUGUGCCCACAAGCAAGACAAAGAGGUGAACCUGUUUGUUAGUCUGUUGCAGCUGAAACUGCGGAGUCUUGCGGCACCUCCGAGGCUGACAAGGGUUUUCGGGCAGAAGCUUUCGAGGACUGCGGUCCAGUUCAGCAGAGGCACCUAAGGAAGCGGAUUGCAGUCCACGAAAUCUGCUCAGUAGAUCUUCCUAGUUUUGAAGGAGCUCCAAGACCUUUUAGUGUUCGGGCAAGCCGCAGCCUCCGUGAGCCCCAGCAAAAUCUCCCCACCACGCACGAAAUUAUCCCAGUUGCAGGCUGGUUGCAGGGAUUAAUGGAGACGGAAGUGAUCAUGUGCAGGGACUUUGAACUCUUGGAAUGGGCUCUAUAAAUAUUGAAUGUUAAGACCGCGAGCCAGAGGCAGUUUCAGGAUUUCCAGGCUCAGCAUAGAUUUGCGCUUAACGAUAGCCAGUGGCAUCACUUUAAUAGUAUUGUUUCCUUUGCCAUUAUUUAAGUUGCAAUUCUAGGCAACCUCAUCUAGAAAUAAGUCCCAUUAAAGUCGCUGGGACACUUGUCACUCUCUUCACCGUGCAAUCUGGCGUGCCUCUAGUCAGAAAUCAGCCUCCUUGAGUUCCAACUAAAUGGGCGCACGAUUGCAGAUAUGAAUAGCUCUAAUAUCCAGAUGGGAAUAUAUAGGCCUUUCCCCUAAAGGUAGGAUCCCAGAUACUCGCUGAAGUCAAUGAAGGUCUCGGUCUACGCAGAAACCAACGAGAAAACAGCAAGAACGUGUGAUCCCCACUACAUUAAGACUGCAGGAGAAACCAACUUCACUAAACCUCGUAGAACUUACUUUCAGUGCAGAAACGCGCAAGUGAGCGGUUACUGGUUCCAUUAUCACCCAUCGGGUUUUCUGUCAAGAAACGUUAGAAUCAACGGGAACAUUCAUGCAAGCAACAAAAGGCAAUACGUACAACAGGCUCAGCUUUGGCUCUAAGUCUAACCCUCCCAUAAUUCUAUACAGGUUUAACGAGACAUCUCACACCAGUGAAGUCGGAAUUCUCUACAGAUGUACGUACAAAGCUGCGAUUCUAUGAGUCUUUAUUGGGGAGUAAAGUUGCAAUCCUGUCCAGGAGUUCUCAGGGAACUCAGCGAAACUCCAACCCACCCACCCCCAAGUCUGCAUUUCAGUCCAUGCUUGAAGAUCAGCUGAAUCCUGUGGACUUGCUUUCCAGUAAGGACACUCGUUUAGGCUGUAUGUUUAGAACCUACGUCCCAGUAAGAACUAACAAUGUAGAAAAUAUAUUAGAAAUAUAUCUAUUGAGCAAUGCAAUCGCAUGUCUAGUCAGAAAUAAACCUCGUUUAAUUCAGUGGCCA